rnacentral:rRNA from 1 species
CCUACGGGCGGCAGCAGUGAGGAAUAUUGGUCAAUGGGCGCGAGCCUGAACCAGCCAAGUAGCGUGAAGGAUGACUGCCCUACGGGUUGUAAACUUCUUUUAUAAAGGAGUAAAGUGAGGCACGUGUGCCUUUUUGUAUGUACUUUAUGAAUAAGGAUCGGCUAACUCCGUGCCAGCAGCCGCGGUAAUACGGAGGAUCCGAGCGUUAUCCGGAUUUAUUGGGUUUAAAGGGAGCGUAGAUGGGUUGUUAAGUCAGUGGUGAAAGUUUGCGGCUCAACCGUAAAAUUGCAAUUGAUACUGGCAGCCUUGAGUACAGGUGAGGUAGGCGGAAUGCGUGGUGUAGCGGUGAAAUGCUUAGAUAUCACGAAGAACUCCGAUUGCGAAGGCAGCUUACUAACCUGCCACUGACAUUGAUGCUCGAAAGUGUGGGUAUCAAACAGGAUUAGAUACCCCGGUAGUC